rnacentral:rRNA from 1 species
AGAGUUUGAUCAUGGCUCAGAACGAACGCUGGCGGCAGGCCUCAAACAUGCAAGUCUAGGGGGUGCAGCAAUGCAUCACCGGCGGACGGGUGCGUAACGCGUGGGAAUAUACCUAUUGGUUCGGAACAACUGCGGGAAACUGCAGCUAAUACCGAAUGUGCCCGAAAGGGGAAAGAUUUAUCGCCAAUGGAUUAGCCCGCGUAGGAUUAGCUAGUUGGUGGGGUAACGGCCCACCAAGGCUCCGAUCCUUAGCUGUUCUGAGAGGAAGAUCAGCCACACUGGGACUGAGACACGGCCCAGACUCCUACGGGAGGCAGCAGUUGGGAAUCUUGGACAAUGGGGGAAACCCUGAUCCAGCCAUGCCGCGUGAGUGAUGAAGGCCUUCGGGUUGUAAAACUCUUUCGACGGGGACGAUAAUGACGGUACCCGUAGAAGAAGCUCCGGCUAACUUCGUGCCAGCAGCCGCGGUAAUACGAAGGGGGCUAGCGUUGUUCGGAAUUACUGGGCGUAAAGCGCGCGCAGGCGGCUAUCCAAGUCAGUGGUGAAAGCCCGGAGCUCAACUCCGGAACUGCCAUUGAAACUGUUUAGCUUGAGGACGAGAGAGGUGAGUGGAAUUCCCAGUGUAGAGGUGAAAUUCGUAGAUAUUGGGAAGAACACCGGUGGCGAAGGCGGCUCACUGGCUCGUUUCUGACGCUCAGGCGCGAUAGCGUGGGGAUCAAACAGGAUUAGAUACCCUAGUAGUCC